rnacentral:rRNA from 1 species
ACGAACGCUGGCGGCACGCCUAACACAUGCAAGUCGAGCCGAGAAAGUGACUUCGGUCGCGAGUAAAGCGGCGAACGGGUGAGUACAACGUGGAUAAUCUACCCUAAGGUCUGGGACAACCCCGAGAAAUCGGGGCUAAUACCGGAUAAGACCACAGUAUCCAAGGAUACAGCGGUAAAAGAUUUAUCGCCUUUGGAUGAGUCCACGCCCCAUCAGGUAGUUGGUAAGGUAAAGGCUUACCAAGCCUAAGACGGGUAGCCGGCCUUAGCGGGUGAACGGCCACAUGGGGACUGAGACACGGCCCUGACUCCUACGGGAGGCAGCAGUGGGGAAUAUUGGGCAAUGGGCGAAAGCCUGACCCAGCGAUGCCGCGUGAGGGAUGAAGGCCUUCGGGUUGUAAACCUCUGUCAGGAGGGACGAUGGGACUUUGUCUUGACGGUACCUCCAGAGGAAGCCCCGGCUAACUCCGUGCCAGCAGCCGCGGUAAU